rnacentral:lncRNA from 1 species
AUAUCUCUUCGGUUGAUCAAUGUGUUCAGUUUGUCCCUUAAACACACUUAUCCAUUGAGUAAAAAAAAAAUUAGGCUUAACUACACAUUUGGUCCCUUACAUUUAUUUUAGGUUUCAAUUUGGUCCCUUACGUUUAAAAAGUAUCAAUUUGGUCCCUUACAUUUAUUUUAGGUUUCAAGUUAGUCCUUUCCGUCAAUUUUGUCACAUGUGGCAGCCAAUUUGCAUAUGUGGACAGACACGUGGCACUUGGACACACUGACACGUGUACUGUUCAAACGGUGUUGGUGACAAAACUAACAGAAAGGACUAACUUGAAACAUAAAAUAAACGUAAAGGACACUGACACGUGUACUGUUCAAACGGUGUUGGUGACAAAACUAACAGAAA